GACAAAUGUAAGAUAUUUGGAGUUGAUGUGGGUGAUUGGUAUGUGGUGCUGAACAAUUGGAUCCAUGGCUAUAUGGAUUAUUUACCGUAAUAAAGUGUAAUCUGUAAUGUUUAACAUCACAUACACAUCAUCAACAUCAACUCCAAAUCUUUUGUUUGUCCUUU
rnacentral:pre_miRNA from 1 species